UACGAGAGGCCCAAACGUAUUCGGAAUUACUGGGCUUAAAGAGUUCGUAGGCGGCAUUGCAAGUAGGGUGUGAAAGCCCUCGGCUCAACCGAGGAAUUGCGCUCUAAACUGCAGUGCUUGAGGAAGCUACGAGGUGAGCAGAACAGGAUGGUGGAGCGGUGAAAUGGCGCAGAUAUCAGGAGGAACACCUAUUGCGAAGGCAGCUCGCUGGGACGUUACUGACGCUGAGACGCGAAGCGUGGGAGCAACAGGAUAGAACCC
rnacentral:rRNA from 1 species